UACGUAGGGUGCGAGCGUUGUCCGGAAUCAUUGGGCGUAAAGAGCGUGUAGGCGGCCCGAUAAGUCCGCUGUGAAAGCCCAGGGCUCAACCCUGGAAUUGCCUUCGAUACUGUUUGGCUAGAGACCGGAAGAGGUAAGUGGGAACUGCGAGUGUAGAGGUGAAAUUCGUAGAUAUUCGCAAGAACACCAGUGGCGAAGGCGGCUUACUGGUCCGGUUCUGGACGCUGAGGCGCGAAAGCGUGGGGAGCAAACAGG
rnacentral:rRNA from 1 species